rnacentral:rRNA from 1 species
AAACGGUAGCUAAUACCGCAUAAUGUCGCAAGACCAAAGAGGGGGACCUUCGGGCCUCUUGCCAUCGGAUGUGCCCAGGUGGGAUUAGCUUGUUGGUGGGGUAACGGCUCACCAAGGCGACGAUCCCUAGCUGGUCUGAGAGGAUGACCAGCCACACUGGAACUGAGACACGGUCCAGACUCCUACGGGAGGCAGCAGUGGGGAAUAUUGCACAAUGGGCGCAAGCCUGAUGCAGCCAUGCCGCGUGUAUGAAGAAGGCCUUCGGGUUGUAAAGUACUUUCAGCGGGGAGGAAGGGAGUAAAGUUAAUACCUUUGCUCAUUGACGUUACCCGCAGAAGAAGCACCGGCUAACUCCGUGCCAGCAGCCGCGGUAAUACGGAGGGUGCAAGCGUUAAUCGGAAUUACUGGGCGUAAAGCGCACGCAGGCGGUUUGUUAAGUCAGAUGUGAAAUCCCCGGGCUCAACCUGGGAACUGCAUCUGAUACUGGCAAGCUUGAGUCUCGUAGAGGGGGGUAGAAUUCCAGGUGUAGCGGUGAAAUGCGUAGAGAUCUGGAGGAAUACCGGUGGCGAAGGCGGCCCCCUGGACGAAGACUGACGCUCAGGUGCGAAAGCGUGGGGAGCAAACAGGAUUAGAUACCCUGGUAGUCCACGCCGUAAACGAUGUCGACUUGGAGGUUGUGCCCUUGAGGCGUGGCUUCCGGAGCUAACGCGUUAAGUCGACCGCCUGGGGAGUACGGCCGCAAGGUUAAAACUCAAAUGAAUUGACGGGGGCCCGCACAAGCGGUGGAGCAUGUGGUUUAAUUCGAUGCAACGCGAAGAACCUUACCUGGUCUUGACAUCCACGGAAGUUUUCAGAGAUGAGAAUGUGCCUUCGGGAACCGUGAGACAGGUGCUGCAUGGCUGUCGUCAGCUCGUGUUGUGAAAUGUUGGGUUAAGUCCCGCAACGAGCGCAACCCUUAUCCUUUGUUGCCAGCGGUCCGGCCGGGAACUCAAAGGAGACUGCCAGUGAUAAACUGGAGGAAGGUGGGGAUGACGUCAAGUCAUCAUGGCCCUUACGACCAGGGCUACACACGUGCUACAAUGGCGCAUACAAAGAGAAGCGACCUCGCGAGAGCAAGCGGACCUCAUAAAGUGCGUCGUAGUCCGGAUUGGAGUCUGCAACUCGACUCCAUGAAGUCGGAAUCGCUAGUAAUCGUGGAUCAGAAUGCCACGGUGAAUACGUUCCCGGGCCUUGUACACACCGCCCGUCACACCAUGGGAGUGGGUUGCAAAAGAAGUAGGUAGCUUAACCUUCGGGAGGGCGCUUACCACUUUGUGAUUCAUGACUGGGGUGAAGUCGUAACAAGGUAACCGUAGGGGAACCUGCGGUUGGAUCAC